UGGAGACUAUUUAGCCGCGCCCGCGGCCCCUCCCACGUGACCGUCCCGCGCCGAGCAUCCUGGGACUUGUAGUUUUCUGGAGGCAGCAGAGCCCGGAAAGCCUGAGGCCGGGGGCGGCCGAGACCGCAAUUCCCGUCACGGAGUGCGUCCUCUAGCGCGGGGCGGAAGACCCGCGAAGUGUUCAAGCGGCCGCAGAGCGGCCCAGAGUUCGCAGGUCUGGGGCUCUCUUCCCAGAGAGCUCGUAGGGGAGGACAGUCAAGGGACUCAAGCGUCUCUCUUGACUCCCCUUCUCUCGCUGUGCAGUGGCGGCGCCGAGGGGUCGACGCUCAGGGCUAAUCUCUAUGAGUCACCCUCGAGGCCCCGGGUAAAUUGGGUGGAUCACAAGAACUAAUCUUUCAUGAUUUGGAAACCGGAAGGAAAGAAGCACUUUUGUAGCUGACUUACCUCAAUGACAUGACCAGUGUCUGAGCCUACAACUGCGCUAUCUUCCCUGGAUU
rnacentral:lncRNA from 10 species